AACGAACGCUGGCAGCAGGCUUAACACAUGCAAGUCGAGCGCCCCGCAAGGGGAGCGGCAGACGGGUGAGUAACGCGUGGGAAUCUACCCAUCUCUACGGAAUAACGCAUGGAAACGUGUGCUAAUACCGUAUACGUCCUUCGGGAGAAAGAUUUAUCGGGGAUGGAUGAGCCCGCGUUGGAUUAGCUAGUUGGUGGGGUAAAGGCCUACCAAGGCGACGAUCCAUAGCUGGUCUGAGAGGAUGAUCAGCCACACUGGGACUGAGACACGGCCCAGGCUCCUACGGGAUGCAGCAGUGGGGAAUAUUGGACAAUGGGCGCAAGCCUGAUCCAGCCAUGCCGCGUGAGUGAUGAAGGCCCUAGGGUUGUAAAGCUCUUUCACCGGUGAAGAUAAUGACGGUAACCGGAGAAGAAGCCCCGGCUAACUUCGUGCCAGCCGCCGCUGUAACAC
rnacentral:rRNA from 1 species